rnacentral:misc_RNA from 1 species
AACAAGGCGUACCUGCGGACCUGCGGAAGGAUCAUUAAUAAAUGUUACUUCGGUAACUUAAUUAAUCCCUAACACCUGUGCAUCUUGUCGCUCCGGCGUCAUUUUAUAAACAUCAGUGUAAUGAAUGUAAAGUAUUAUAACAAAUACAACUUUUAGCAAUGGAUCU